rnacentral:rRNA from 1 species
AGAUUGAACGCUGGCGGCAUGCCUUACACAUGCAAGUCGAACGGCAGCACGGGAGCAAUCCUGGUGGCGAGUGGCGAACGGGUGAGUAAUAUAUCGGAACGUGCCCAGUCGUGGGGGAUAACGCAGCGAAAGCUGUGCUAAUACCGCAUACGAUCUAUGGAUGAAAGCGGGGGAUCGCAAGACCUCGCGCGAUUGGAGCGGCCGAUAUCAGAUUAGCUAGUUGGUGGGGUAAAAGCCUACCAAGGCGACGAUCUGUAGCUGGUCUGAGAGGACGACCAGCCACACUGGAACUGAGACACGGUCCAGACUCCUACGGGAGGCAGCAGUGGGGAAUUUUGGACAAUGGGCGCAAGCCUGAUCCAGCAAUGCCGCGUGCAGGAUGAAGGCCGUUCGGUAGUAACGUGUCUUUUGGUACGGAACGAACGGCUCUCUACUAACUACGAGGGUCUAAGUGACCGGUACGUAAGAAUAAGCAACCGGACUAAC